CUCCUCCAUGUACUACUCAACUCCCCGCCUCGCUACACUAUCUCUGGAAUUCCUACUCUCCUCACUGCCAUUGUCUCCACACACAACACCUUACAUCAUCCGCCUCCGUGUAGCGUGGCCAUCCUCUCGUCACCGUCAUCCACCACUUUGUGGCCUCCCCGCUCAACCCAGCUCCUCGCCGCAUUGUCUCUAUCCCUGGCCCCAGUCA
rnacentral:lncRNA from 1 species